rnacentral:piRNA from 1 species
UGUGUUUGAAUACUUGGUUCC